rnacentral:lncRNA from 1 species
AGUGAAUCUGUGGAAUAAAUCAGAGAUUGAUUUAUGACUUAUUGAUUAUGUAAUUGGAGUACUGAGUGGUUGGAUUAUUGUGAGAAGAUAUUGGGAGUUUGUUAUCAAAUUUUAUGGAAGAUUGUUAUUGGAUGGAAGAUUAUGAUUAUUGUUUAUUGAAAGUUGUGUGUGUUUUGACAAAAGAAGUUUGUGAUUAUAGAUAUUGUGUGAAGACAAUUUGUUUAGAAUAGAAGUCUGUUAUUUCUGGUGUUGGAUGGAAUUUAUGUACUUGAAGCAGUCUUUUAUGACAAUGCGAGAGUUGUGCUUUGUUUUUAUCAGUGAUUGCAGAGUAUUAUUAGGAAGUGGAAAGCAUUUUAGUAUUCUUUGGUGUUUUUAGUGAUUUGGAAUAUAUUUAAUUGUGUAAUCCUAACAAAUAGAACUCAUGUACUUAGUCUUUUCUUACGUUCAAAUCUCCCUAUACAAGUUUAUUUUGAA